rnacentral:lncRNA from 1 species
GAAAAUGGAGGUGCCCCAUCUCCCCUUUAUGGUUGCCCAAAACAAGGAGGGGGGCAUCCAAGAGUUGGACGCCCCAAGAUCCCACUCUCAACAUUCACUUUUUCUUCUUCUUCUUGGGUUUAUUUUUUUGAUCUUUUCUUACUAAUUUUUAGUCAUCAAAGAGAGUUUUUUCUGCUAGUUAUACAAUAGAAAAUUGAAGAAAAAAAGUUCUUCCCAAAG